UUAGAGAUGUGUAAUUUAUAAUUGUUACGUGUUCUUGUUGAAUAUCUCACUUUACAAGCACAAAAUGUCCCACUAUUAAAAUUAUUUGACCUGAUACCAAGAUAACCACAGCAGAUUUCUGCAGGUAAAUGUUUGUAUGGUGUACUUUUUGCAUCCUUUAAAACUUAACACACAUGCAUCUUUAUUUUAAGGGAGUCUUUUUUUGGGGGAGGGGUUCACCAAUGCAUUUACAUUUAAUAUAUUUGAUGUUGUGUUUCUUCCGGGCUUUGUUGAUCUAUUCCUCCAUUCUAACUUUUUAUUUUAUGAAUAAAGUAUUUCUAUUGUAUCAUUUUACAUUUAGUAGAUAUUUAAUUUUAUAUUAAGACCAGAAAAGAAUCAAUUUUUUAUCUAUAUAAAAAUACUCGUUCUUUUUUCCAAGAUAUUUUACUAGAAUUAAUUACGUGUAUAAGGGUCAUAAACUAUUAAAUCAUCGAUUUUUUUGAGAUACUGCUUAUUUGUGUGAGAAUUUAUGUUAAGUAUGAAUUAAGGACACAUUCUUAUAAAAUAUAAAAUUACAAAAGGGAUUUUUUACUAUGUAUUAAAAAAGGUAAGCAGAACCUCUAUAUUCUAUGCAGAUAUUUUAUAAAAAUUCAGUUAAAUAUUUAUAAAAUGAAAGUUAAAAGCAGCACUUUUGAAAAGCAGUUAAUGAACAGCCAUCAACGGAGCUAUCAUUGUAACAGCAAAAUGCUUUGCAUCUCCAUUAACAUCAGUGGUGGUGAAGCAGGUCAAGUUUAAUUAAGGGCAGUCAAAGAUACACUGAGAAACUGAACUAUAAAACGCUGUCCUAGGCCAGGUGCCGUGGCUCACCCCUGUAAUCCCAGCACUUUGGGAGGCUGAGGCAGGCAAUCACCCAGGGUCAGGAAUUCAAGACGAGCCUGACCAACACGGAGAAGCCUUUCCGUCUCCACUGAAAAUACAAAGUUAGCCGGGCAUGGUGAUGCAUCCCUGUAGUCCCAGCUACUCAGGAGGCUGAGGCCGGAGAAUCACUUGAACCCAAGAGGCAGAGGUUAAGGGCCAUUACACUCCAGUCUAGGCAAGAAGAGCGAAACUCUGUCUCCAAAAAAAAAAAAAAAAAAAAAAAAAGGCUGUCCUUUGCAGGAGCUGAAGGCAAAAAGAAAGCGAAGGAGAGCCUUGAAAUUAGCAAUGAAUUAGUAAGCCUUGCUGCCUGGAACUUGUAAUUCGCUGUCAGAUUUUAGUAUCAAUUAAAGUAGAUUAAUAGAGAGAACAAUCAUUGUUUCUCUAUCUUAUAUGCCUCUUUAUCAUCCCCCUGUAGAGGCUCCCACGAAAGGCGGAAGACAGAGUGGGUCAAAAAUUCAAUUCAUUUCUCUGCUCAAUCACUUUUUAAAUAAUGCUGGCAUCUACAUUUGCUGGACACCAGAAUUAUGAUUUCUUCAAAACAGGAAUAAAUGUAGUUAUUGACAGCCUAUAGCCCUCAUUUCCAAAGAGGCUUAACUCCUUUUUAUUCAACUGAGGAAGCAAUUCCCUGCAAUGUGAGCACUCAGCAAUUCACAUCUCCUUUUACCACUAGGGGCUACCGUGGUGAAGUGAAUGAUGAAGAGGAUGUAACAAAUUUAGUAUUACUUUAAAUGCUCAAAUUCACGUAGAUCUGCAGAAACAGAACCACAAGGACAAAAAAAAAUUUGCUCUCGAUCAUUUUAUAAUAAUGUUCAUUAAUGAAGCUAAAGCCUCCCUGCUUUGACUUUGUUUUUUAAACAUCAGUGACAAAUAGAUUCCUCUAAAUUGUAAGAGAGCUCAUGAAACAGCAGGGAUAUUUAAGUAAAGGAUUAAUUUUUUUAGAAGUAAUUUUGAACUUUAAAUGAUUAUAGCACAGCCUAUGUAAACAAGAAGACAGACCAGCUUAUUAAAAAGCAGUGUGCGGCCCGGGCGCAGUGGCUCACACCUGUAAUCCCAACACUUUCGGAGGCUGAGGUGGCCGGAUCACGAGGUCAAGAGAUCGAGACCAUCCUGGCCAACAUGGUGAAAUCCUGUCUUUACCGAAAAUACAAAAAUUAGCUGGGCGUGGUGGCACACGCCUGUAGUCCCAGCUACUUGGGAGGCCGAGGCAGGAGAACCGCUUGAACCCGGGAGAAGGAGGUUGCAGUGAGGCAAGAAAGCAGUGUGUAAAUUAUCUAGGCCACAAAAAGCUGAGAUACAGUGUUCUGUUUUCUAAUAUUCUUCAUGUUUGCACGCUGUCUCAAUGAAGAGCAAGUACCCAAGACACCGUUUUAGAAGAUGCAAACCAAAACUGGAAACAGAAUUUUGUCACCAACAUAAAUGUGAAAACUUAAAAGCAUAUCUAGGAAAUUUGAAAACUGCUAACAUCACUGCUUGUAGGUUAAAUCCUACUCAUUGUAACCUGAUUACAAAAUCUUUAUGAUAGAAACUUCAAUGUUUAAAUGAGAAUAGACACAGGAAAAGAGUACACAUGUUAUAAAUGUAGCAGAUUUUUAUUACAUUUAUGAAAUACUCUAAUUUGUGAAGUGCUUUUAUAUUCAUAUGUUACUCAAUCCUGGCAGUAAUCUUAGUAAGACAUGAGUUCAAACAGGCAUUGGUAUCUUACAAAUGCUGCAGUAAGGAAGAUUGAGGCUCACUCAGGCAGGUUAGAUAGCACCAGGUUGUACAAACACCCGAACCUACCUAACAAUGUAGCCAAUUGUUCUUUCACUUUAAUGUUUAUGAGAACUUCCAAGUAUUAAAAUGCAAAUCAUUAAGCUGUAAUACAGUCGGCCUUAACAGAGAAUACAAUUUCCAUUUCCAGCUGCUGCAUUCAGGCAGGAACAUCUUAUCUGUGCAGGUAGGGGAGUCACAUGAAUCAAUGGGCCUUUAGACAAUGCAAGUGCUUAGGUGUGCUUCAUUUGAAUGACCAUCCACAUGGCGCCCCUAUAGGACUCCACAGCUAUCUAAAAGAUGGAUAACUGAGAUCACUGGUAAGGGAGCUGUCUGGAAAGCUUCUUCAAAAAGGGCAUGAGUUGAAAGACACAUUCCUUUUUGUGUGAGGACUUUCUUUCCUGCCUGAAGAGAGACUGAGUUGGGGUGAAGUUUGGCCCAACUCAUCAAUUUAAUGGAAUUGACUUAAAGAGAGAUAUGACUGGGGGUCAAGGUGACGGACUCAUGAAAUGAGUUAGAAAAAAGAGAAAGGAUCUUUGAAGGCUGGGAUUACAAGAAAAGGGAAUAAGUAGUACAACUGAGAAAGCUGGAUGUGUUUUAAAAGGUGCUCAGAUAUCAGUGUGAUGAGUGGAGUAAUACACAAGGAGGAGCAAAAAAAAAGCUAAAAAUCAAAUAUAUAUAAAUCAAAUAUUGUCAUUGAUUUGGAUAUUUUCACUUUUUAAAGCUAUUUUCAGUUAUUUAACAUUAUUAGCAAAUUAAAAGCUGCCAGAUAUUAUUUUACCUCAGCAUCAAAAUUAGUAUCAAUUAUUAUACUAAUAGCAGUAAAGACAAUAAUGGCAUUGACUGGGUUGUGACUAUAUGCCAGACACUUUUCUAAGGACCCUAUGGUAUUAACUUUUAUAAUAAAGUUAUUACUUCUACUUUAAAUAUCAAGAUAAUAACGUACAGCAAACUUUGGGUAACUUGCCCGAAACUACAAAACUAGAAAAUGGCAGACUCAGAAACAUUAAGCUCCACAGCAUUUUGUCUUAUCAUUUUUUAGGCCAUUAUCUAUAAAUAGUGAUCUGCUUGCUCAUUUGCAUUUUGGUAAACCCCACAAUUUAUGUAAAUUUUACAUCAGAAUGAUACUGCUUGAAUAUUCACAAAUUACUCUGGGUGGGGACAAAGCCUGUUUGGCUUUCUGAGACAAGGGAUGUAAACGAAAAAGUGUCCGAGACAGGUCUCAAUCAAUUUACAAGUUUCUUCUUCUUCUAAGGUUAAAGACAUGCCUGGGCGACAGGUCUGCGCCUUUCUCCAAAAACAUUUUAGGGCUUCAAUAUUUAGAGGAGAAAAGGAAGGCUGAGGGGAAAAGAGGAAGGGUAUGGUCACGUUACUGAAUCCACAUGUUGCAAGAGAAAACAAGCAGGUAGAGAAAUAGUUACUUAAUUUGUCUCCUAGCUCAGUAAAUCAGCACUUUACAUAAGGUGAACAUAGAGUAGGUACCUCUGGAGAAAUUUAACCGUUUAUCAGUAGCUAUCUGCUUAGGAAAAAAAAGAAAGGCAGUUUCUUGCGUGACUCAGCUUUCAGCUUAACUUUUCCUUUUGGCAUAGUGAAUUGGCAUUCCAAGUUUUUAUUUUCCUUUCGCAGGGAAAAAAAGCAAAUAUUGUAGUUUUGUCUGGUGAUCAUUUUGUUAUGAAAUUCAUUAAUAACACUAAAUGAGUAUCCAUAAGCAUCAUGAUCAAUUGCCCGGAGGCACUCCUCUGUCCUGCUGGUAUCUGUUCUUGUGGACUGUGUCAUAAUCACCGUUCUGACCAGUGUGCUUUUGAUUUGCACUUCUCUGAUGAUUAAUGAGGGUUGAGCAUGUUUUCAUGUUUAUUGGUGGCUGUUACAUCUUUUGAGCAGUGUAUGUUCAUGUCCCUAACCCAUUUAUUAAUUGGGUUUUUUGGUCUGACUUAUUUAAGGACUUUAAGACAGAUCCUACCUUUGUCAGAUGUGUAGUGUGGAAACAUUUGCUUCCAUAUAAUGGCUAAUAUUUGAAUAUUUGAAUUUUUUAUAAUGGCUCAAUAGGUUCUCAAAUGUCACUUUUUCGAUUCCAUAAAAAGAGUUUCAAACUUGCUGAACUGAAAUCCCAGUACCAUUCUGUGACAUAAAACAGCACACAUCAGAAAGCGUUCUACCAGAUAGCUUGUUUCUAGUUUUUAGGAUUGGAUAUUCAUAUUUUCUAUACUAUUUAAGGGCUCAACAGGCUCCAAAAUGUCACUUCUUAGAUUCUACCAAAAAAGUGUUUGGAAGCUGUUUCAUCAAAAUGCACGUUCCAUUCUGUAACAUAAAACAGCAUGCCACAAAGCGUUUUCACAGAUUGCUUGCUUCUAGUUUUUAGGGCUGAAUAUUCAUAUUUUUAAAUCAAGUCUCAACAGGCUCGAAAACUUCACUUUUUAGAUUCUACAAAGAGUGUUUUGAACUUGUUGAAUCAAAGCGUAUGUAUUAUUCUGUGACAAAAAGCAGCACAUCACAAAGCAUUUUCACAGAUGCUUCCUUCUAGUUUUUAGAACUGGAUAUUCAUAUGUUUCUAUA
rnacentral:lncRNA from 1 species